UACAGAGGUCUCAAGCGUUGUUCGGAUUCAUUGGGCGUAAAGGGUGCGUAGGCGGCGCGGUAAGUCGGGUGUGAAAUCUCGGAGCUUAACUCCGAAACUGCAUUCGAUACUGCCGUGCUUGAGGACUGGAGAGGAGACUGGAAUUUACGGUGUAGCGGUGAAAUGCGUAGAUAUCGUAAGGAAGACCAGUGGCGAAAGCGGCUUCCUGGUCCAGCACCGACGUUCAGGCACGAAAGCGUGGGGGAGCAAACAGG
rnacentral:rRNA from 1 species